CAUCUUUCCUCCCGACAACACCCGUAUUUCUUUCCUCUUACUCUAAUUGAAGACCAGCCACAGGAAAAUCUCUAGGAACACUUCUUAUUCCUGUAGCACCUCUUCAAGUGAGAUGGCAGACCACCUCAGGAUGGAAAUGUAUUUCUUCAUCCCCCUCUCUACUUCCCUGUGACCUCCUGCAAAUAAGGUGAUGCUGAUGUAAAGGGUGGGUUCGGUGCCACUGCAUUACAUGGAUCCCUGAUUGAUCACCAUGAAGAAUCAAGAUAUUCAUGGAUCCAAGCCUACCUAUGUGAAGUCUGGUUGUAGAGGUGAGGCCAUGUGGAAGGCAGUUUGCAAACUCUAUCAGCCACCUGUACAGGUGAUGAUAUGGACAGGAGACAGGGACAUACUAGGGAGAGACAAAGAGAAGAGCAGAAGAACAGAAGAAUGGAGUGGCAAAGAGAAGAGAAGGAGUGACUGAACAUUGACAAGACUUUGGUUGGGGAUGGUCAGAGAGGAGAUUAGCUGCUAGACGGCCACACUGCGGAGAAAGAUCAUUUUCCCACUCCAUCCCCCUUCCAGCUCCCCAUCCAUCUCACCAAGAGCCAGCUCCACCACUCAAUAAAACCUUACAUUCAUCUUUC
rnacentral:lncRNA from 10 species